AGUGAACGCUGGCGGUAGGCCUAACACAUGCAAGUCGAACGGCAGCACAGUAAGAGCUUGCUCUUACGGGUGGCGAGUGGCGGACGGGUGAGGAAUACAUCGGAAUCUACUUUUUCGUGGGGGAUAACGUAGGGAAACUUACGCUAAUACCGCAUACGACCUACGGGUGAAAGCAGGGGAUCUUCGGACCUUGCGCGAUUGAAUGAGCCGAUGUCGGAUUAGCUAGUUGGCGGGGUAAAGGCCCACCAAGGCGACGAUCCGUAGCUGGUCUGAGAGGAUGAUCGGCCACAUUGGAACUGAGACACGGUCCAGACUCCUACGGGAGGCAGCAGUAGGGAAUAUUGGACAAUGGGCGAAAGCCUGAUCCAGCCAUACCGCGUGAGUGAAGAAGGCCUUCGGAUUGUAAAGCCCUUUUGUUGGGAAAGAAAAGCAGCAGAUUAAUACCCCGCUGUUCUGACGGUACCCAAAGAAUAAGCACCGGCUAACUUCGUG
rnacentral:rRNA from 1 species